rnacentral:rRNA from 1 species
GUCUGUUUGGAGAUAUAAAAAGUCUGACCUGCCCACUGAAUAAAUAAAUUGAAGGGCCGCAGUAUUUUAACUGUGCAAAGGUAGCAUAAUAGUUAGGUUUUUAAUUGGAAUCUUGAAUGAAUGGUUCGACAAAAAAAGCGCUGUCUCUAUAAUAAUGCUUGAAUUUAACUUUUAAGUGAAAAGGCUUAAAUAUAUUAAGAAGACGAUAAGACCCUAUAAAGCUUUAUAUGAAUAUUUUAUUAAAAAUAAAUUUACAUAUAAAAUUUUAAUGGAAUAAAAUUAUUAUAUUGGGGCGAUAAAGGUAUAAUUGUUAUUAACUGCUUAAAAAUCAAACAUUAAUAACUGGAAAGUAGAGUAAUAGAUCCUUAGAUAAAGAUUUUAAGUUUAAGUUACUUUAGGGAUAACAGCGUUAUUUUUUUUGAGAGUACUUAUCGAAAAAAAAGUUUGCGACCUCGAUGUUGAAUUAAGAUUUCUUUUUAAUUGUAGCAGUUAAAAAAGAAGGUCUGUUCGACCUUUAAAUUUCUUACAUGAUUUGAGUUCAAACCGGCGUGAG